rnacentral:tRNA from 1 species
GCCUUCAUGGUGAAAUAGUCAGCACGCUCGGCCCGUAUUCGAGAGGUCCGAGGUUAGAGUCCCGGCGAGAGCA